GACGAACGCUGGCGGCGUGCUUAACACAUGCAAGUCGAACGGGAAGGCCCUGCUUUUGUGGGGUGCUCGAGUGGCGAACGGGUGAGUAACACGUGAGUAACUUGCCCUUGACUUUGGGAUAACUUCAGGAAACUGGGGCUAAUACCGGAUAGGAGCUCCUGCUGCAUGGUGGGGGUUGGAAAGUUUCGGCGGUUGGGGAUGGACUCGCGGCUUAUCAGCUUGUUGGUGGGGUAGUGGCUUACCAAGGCUUUGACGGGUAGCCGGCCUGAGAGGGUGACCGGCCACAUUGGGACUGAGAUACGGCCCAGACUCCUACGGGAGGCAGCAGUGGGGAAUAUUGCACAAUGGGCGGAAGCCUGAUGCAGCAACGCCGCGUGCGGGAUGACGGCCUUCGGGUUGUAAACCGCUUUCGCCUGUGACGAAGCGUGAGUGACGGUAAUGGGUAAAGAAGCACCGGCUAACUACGUG
rnacentral:rRNA from 1 species